rnacentral:rRNA from 1 species
GACGAACGCUGGCGGCGUGCUUAACACAUGCAAGUCGAACGCUGAAGCACCAGCUUGCUGGUGUGGAUGAGUGGCGAACGGGUGAGUAAUACGUGAGUAACCUGCCCUUGACUCUGGGAUAAGCCCGGGAAACUGGGUCUAAUACUGGAUGCUACAUGUCACCGCAUGGUGGUGUGUGGAAAGGGUUUACUGGUCUUGGAUGGGCUCACGGCCUAUCAGCUUGUUGGUGAGGUAAUGGCUCACCAAGGCGACGACGGGUAGCCGGCCUGAGAGGGUGACCGGCCACACUGGGACUGAGACACGGCCCAGACUCCUACGGGAGGCAGCAGUGGGGAAUAUUGCACAAUGGGCGAAAGCCUGAUGCAGCGACGCCGCGUGAGGGAUGACGGCCUUCGGGUUGUAAACCUCUUUCAGCAGGGAAGAAGCCACAAGCGACGGUACCUGCAGAAGAAGCGCCGGCUAACUACGUG